GAUGAACGCUGGCGGCGUGCCUAAUACAUGCAAGUCGAGCGAACAGACGAGGAGCUUGCUCCUCUGACGUUAGCGGCGGACGGGUGAGUAACACGUGGAUAACCUACCUAGAAGACUGGGAUAAAUUCGGGAAACCGGAGCCAAUACCGGAUAAUAUACUGAACCGCAAGGUUGAAUAGUGAAAGACGGUUUUGCUGUCACUUAUAGAUGGAUCCGCGCCGCAUUAGCUAGUUGGUAAGGUAACGGCUUACCAAGGCAACGAUGCGUAGCCGACCUGAGAGGGUGAUCGGCCACACUGGAACUGAGACACGGUCCAGACUCCUACGGGAGGCAGCAGUAGGGAAUCUUCCGCAAUGGGCGAAAGCCUGACGCAGCCACGCCGCGUGUGUGAUGAAGGUCUUCGGGUCGUAAAGCUCUGUUAUUGGGGAAGAACAAAUGUGUAAGUAACUAUGCACGUCUUGACGGUACCUAAUCAGAAAGCCCCGGCUAACUACGUG
rnacentral:rRNA from 1 species